rnacentral:rRNA from 1 species
GACGAACGCUGGCGGCGUGCUUAACACAUGCAAGUCGAACGAAGUGGCGAACGGGUGAGUAACGCGUAAUCAACCUGCCCUUCAGAGGGGGACAACAGUUGGAACCGACUGCUAAUACCGCAUACUGAAGGAGGGGAUUGCGUCUGAUUAGCUAGUUGGAGGGGUAACGGCCCACCAAGGCGAUGAUCAGUAGGCGGUCUGAGAGGAUGAACGGCCACAUUGGGAAUGAGACACGGCCCAGACUCCUACGGGAGGGAGGAGGGGGGAAUCUUCCGAAAUGGAGGAAAGGCUGACGGAGCAACGGCGCGGGAGUGAUGACGGGCUUCGGGUUGGAAAGCUAUGUUAAUCGGGACGCGGUACCGGAAGAGAAAGCCACGGCUAACUACGUGCCAGCAGCCGCGGUAAUAC